rnacentral:rRNA from 1 species
GACGUAGGGCGCGAGCGUUGUCCGGAUUUAUUGGGCGUAAAGAGCUCGUAGGCGGCUUGUCGCGUCGUUCGUGAAAACCCGGGGCUCAACUCCGGGCUUGCGGGCGAUACGGGCAGGCUAGAGUUCGGUAGGGGAGACUGGAAUUCCUAGUGUAGCGGUGAAAUGCGCAGAUAUCAGGAGGAACACCGGUGGCGAAGGCGGGUCUCUGGGCCGAUACUGACGCUGAGGAGCGAAAGCGUGGGGAGCGAACAGG